rnacentral:sRNA from 1 species
ACAAUAUCGUCGCUAGAUGGCGCCUCGUUGCUACGUACGCUAGUGCGCGAAAAUGGAAGUUCGAGAAGACUACACGGUUUCGGGACACUACGCAAACAGUUUCACAAGUCUGUAUAAAGCCGAUCCAGAAUAAACAACUCCAGUGACCCUUUGCAAUUGUUGCAGAGACAUAACAAGACAUCUGCAAGGUUUAAAACUUGUGAUGGCCGACAAACAACCUGCCAACCCAGCCGCGGACAGCGAAGGAAGUCAUACCCCAAAGAAUCACAUUAUAUACAGGACUCAGAACUUUGACAAUCACAGACCCUGUCAUAACAUCAAACUGGACUGAUGAGGCAGAAUAUAUCUUACAGAAUGUUUCAACAAGCGAAAAGUCGAAGAAUGUGUUGACCCAGUGCUUAAUCUGAUUGCACCAGGGCAAUCAGAGAAAUUAAAACAAUUGAUUAUGUUAGGACCUUAAACAACUCCAACAGAUAAAGAGCUUACAAACUACAUGUAUAUGAGGAGAUAACUAACAUUGAACUUCACACUCAAAUUUUUUCAAUGUCAAAAAACUAUGUUAAUAUAUAUAACAGUAAUUAGAUGUACAUGUAUAACUAAUUUAUGUAGAAGAUAAGUGCAUAUAUGUAUGUCCCUUUCUCACUGAUUGUCCAUUAUACAUGUAUAGAAAGAAUAAAGAAAUUUUAUAUCUCAUU